rnacentral:rRNA from 1 species
AGUUUGAUCAUGGCUCAGGAUGAACGCUGGCGGCGUGCUUAACACAUGCAAGUCGAACGAAGCCAAAAGGAAGCUUGCUUUCUUUGAAGCUUAGUGGCGGACGGGUGAGUAACGCGUGAGAAACCUGCCCUUGAGUGGGGAAUAACACCGAGAAAUCGGUGCUAAUACCGCAUAAUGUCACGAUACCGCAUGAUAUUGUGACCAAAGGAUUUUAUUCGCUUAAGGAUGGUCUCGCGUCCGAUUAGCUAGUUGGUGAGGUAACGGCCCACCAAGGCGACGAUCGGUAGCCGAACUGAGAGGUUGAUCGGCCACAUUGGGACUGAGACACGGCCCAGACUCCUACGGGAGGCAGCAGUGGGGAAUAUUGGGCAAUGGGCGAAAAAGCCUGACCCAGCAACGCCGCGUGAAGGAUGACGGUCUUCGGAUUGUAAACUUCUUUGAUUGGGGAAGAAUAAAUGACCUACCCAAAGAACAAGUCACGGCUAACUACGUGCCAGCCGCGGC